CGGAGCGUAGCGCAGUCUGGUAGCGCACUGAUUUGGGAUCAGGGGUCGCAGGUUCGAAUCCUGCCGCUCCGACCA
rnacentral:tRNA from 1 species